ACAGCCUUCACUUGGACUUCUUAUUUCCCUGCUUCGAUGUAAAAUAUAUCUCAGGUCCAAGAGCAUCCUUCUUGACAAAGGGCCAAGUGGUAUCGUUUCAUGUGUGUCUAGAUUGCUGAAUGUCACUGAGGAAGCAGCGCCUGAGGAUGUUGACCUGGGAAUACUUGUGACAGUGGGAAAGAAGGAAGAUAAUAAAGACAAGAGCAGAACACAUAAGGGGGAACAACAAGACUUUCUGCACUAGUCACAAGUGCUGUAGAUAUACCAUCAUAAGAGCUAUAUCAGAGCCGCUGAGGAAUUUAUUAUGAUUUCCACACCUUUUCCGGUUCUGCAGAACAGGACCAAGUGGAACAGAGUGAGGGUAAUGUCUUGC
rnacentral:lncRNA from 1 species